UGCACUCACUACUGUAUGUCGCUCUGGACAAGAGCGUCUGCUAAAUGACUAAAA
rfam:Salmo salar isolate Sally breed double haploid chromosome ssa15, whole genome shotgun sequence.